ensembl:misc_RNA
AGGCCGAGAGCCGACCAGACAAACAACCUACAACCCUUAAGCUCCUGGCAGCGCCCAGUCAAGGCCAUGCUUCCG